GGAAGUCAUUAAAUUAGCGCAGCGGUCUUGAAGACCGACGAGUUCGCAAGGGCUCCGUGGGUUCGAAUCCCACCCUCUCCG
rnacentral:tRNA from 1 species